GGUAAGAUGGCCGAGCGGUCUAAGGCGCCAGACUAAGGUUUUAAUGGGUAUAUCUGGUCUCUUUGGGGUCGGGACUCCCUCUCAUCA